rnacentral:rRNA from 1 species
ACGGAAGGCAGCAGUGGGGAAUAUUGCACAAUGGGCGAAAGCCUGAUGCAGCGACGCCGCGUGAGUGAAGAAGUAUUUCGGUAUGUAAAGCUCUAUCAGCAGGAAAGAUAAUGACGGUACCUGACUAAGAAGCACCGGCUAAAUACGUGCCAGCAGCCGCGGUAAUACGUAUGGUGCAAGCGUUAUCCGGAUUUACUGGGUGUAAAGGGAGCGCAGACGGCAUGGCAAGCCAGAUGUGAAAGGCAGGGGCUCAACUCCUGGACUGCAUUUGGAACUGUCAAGCUAGAGUAUCGGAGAGGUAAGUGGAAUUCCUAGUGUAGCGGUGAAAUGCGUAGAUAUUAGGAGGAACACCAGUGGCGAAGGCGGCUUACUGGACGAUAACCGACGUUGAGGCUCGAAAGCGUGGGGAGCAAGCAGGAUUAGAUACCCUGGUA